rnacentral:rRNA from 1 species
CCUACGGGAGGCAGCAGUGGGGAAUAUUGGGCAAUGGGCGCUAGCCUGACCCAGCAACGUCGCGUGAAGGAAGAAUGCUUUCUGGUUGUAAACUUCUUUUGUCAUGGGAGUGUAGAAGACGGUACCUGACGAAUAAGCCACGGCUAACUACGUGCCAGCAGCCGCGGCAAUACGUAGGUGGCCAGUGUUGUCCGGAUUUACUGGGUGUACCGGGCGUGUAGCCGGGUUGACAAGUCAGGUGUGAAAUCCUGCGGCUUAACCGCAGAACUGCAUUUGAAACUGUUGACCUUGAGUACUGGAGAGGCAGAUGGAAUUCGUAGUGUAGCGGUGAAAUGCGUAGAUAUUAGGAGGAACACCAGUGGCGAAGGCGGUCUGCUGGACAGCAACUGACGGUGAGGCGCGAAAGCGUGGGGAGCAAACAGGAUUAGAUACCCUGGUAGUC